CCUACGGGUGGCAGCAGUGAGGAAUAUUGGUCAAUGGACGAAAGUCUGAACCAGCCAUGCCGCGUGCAGGAAGACGGCGCUAUGAGUUGCAAACUGCUUUUGUACAAGGGUAAACCUGAAUACGUGUAUUCAGCUGACAGUACUGUACGAAUAAGGAUCGGCUAACUCCGUGCCAGCAGCCGCGGUAAUACGGAGGAUCCAAGCGUUAUCCGGAUUUAUUGGGUUUAAAGGGUGCGUAGGCGGAUUGAUAAGUUAGAGGUUAAAUGGCCGGGCUCAACGCGGGAACUGCCUCUGAUACUGGUGGUCUAGAGAGUGGAUGCGGUAGGCGGAAUGUGGGGUGUAGCGGUGAAAUGCUUAGAGAUCAUACAGAACACCGAUUGCGAAGGCAGCUUGCCAAUCUAUAUCUGACGUUGAGGCACGAAAGCGUGGGGAGCAAACAGGAUUAGAUACCCUGGUAGUC
rnacentral:rRNA from 1 species